CUUCAGGGAUUUCACCUUGCUUGAGAUUUUUCUUCGGUCCCCUCUUCUUCCCUGAGAGCUUCAUCCUCCUCCAGCGUCCCUUUCAAUCUUAGGCAUCCUUCAGGUCGACCUCCAUCACCUUCACUGCCCUCCUGCACCUCUCAGACCAGCCUAGGUUAGUUCCGAAACCCUUCUUUUUCUUGCUAUUCUUCCAUUUUUUCUCCUCUGC
rnacentral:lncRNA from 1 species